rnacentral:lncRNA from 1 species
GUCUUUUGUUGUUUUUUUUUUUUUUUUUUUGAUGUCCUUGUAACCCAUUUGUUAGUGGAAUUGCUCUGUUGUAUUCUGUUGAAAUUCAGUGAGUAGAUUUGUGUUAGAAUUUAGAAUCUCAGAAAGUUUCCUAUGGGCCAUUGUACAUUAUUUUUGAUUGUGGCUCAGAAUAUAUGUAGCAGGUAGAAAUGUCUGGGAUGUUUUCUUAAACUUGGAGCUUUUCAUAGUUCUAUCUGAAAUCUCUCAUUACUACUUAGUAAUUCUAGUCUUUAAUAAGUGAAUGGCUUGUGCACCUAAUAUUCUCAAACCUCAGCUUUGCUGGAAAGGCCUGUAGUUUCUUAAAAACUCUCUAGUCCUUGUAAGAUUCCCUGAUUUUAUAAUGCUUUGAUCAUCAUAUUCUUUACUUACUCAGAGCCCAAGGAAUGAGCUGCUACUUCUUUACAGUGUGGCUGUGAUAAAUGUGAAGAGAGUUUUGGCCUGUUUAAUAAUUUUUCAACUACUUAAUGGUACAGAUAAAUAUGUGCUACAUGUUAAAAAUACCUGUUCAUUGUUACAGGAAAUUAAAAAGGGAUCUUUUAUAUUAUAGGAUUAAAACUAAUUUUCUGUAUAUGUUAACUAAUUGAUUUGAUUUUAAAUAUCUUGCAUUUAUUAAUAUGUCUUAAUAUUGAAUUUGAAACUAUUAAGUGCAAUAAACAUUACUACAGAUUUCAUUUUGUUGCAGUUGGCACACAGUGCAGAUGAUCACUAAAAAUAAUUUGCAUAAUGCCUACAUCCAGUAGCUGUCUUAUGAGAAUGUUCUGCUUUCUCUUAAGUUAUUUAGAUGAUGACUAUAUAAAAUGUACAUACUUGUUUGUUGUUCUGAAUACAUUUCUCAAAUGUACACCUGUAUUAUAAUAACCUCCCAGUUCUAGGGGAAAUUUGUGCAAUAAACACUCAUGUCAAUUUG